rnacentral:lncRNA from 1 species
GCGCGAGCGCCGCGCGCAGCCUGGGUUCCUGCCGGCGCCUCUCCCUCCACACCUCCCCUCAAACAGAGGGAGCCGGCUCCGGUCUCGGCCAGCCCAGAGAGGGCCUCCCAUAGUGCAGCGGGGGGCUGAAGGUCUCCUCAAGCGCUGCCAGAGUGGGCGUCGAGGCUGAGGAGACACCGAGAGCGAGUGAGGGCUGCCAGCAUGCUGUCACCUCUCAGUAAUUUGAGAAAAUUUCUGUUUUCUAUGGGUUGGGAGCAGCAAGUACUGCAGCCCAUUUGAGGUAUGAUAAUCAGCUGAUUAGCUAGUGGAGUCGUUUUCCCUGAGGCUCUUUUGUGUGCAAAAUCCUCACACUCAAUUGACAUGUGGACAUCAUAAAGCUGAUGAAAUGCAAUUGUAAUGAACAAGAGGGAGCGGCAUCUGCAGCCGUCUAAAUGAAGGACCCUUUCCUCUCGCCAUGCUAAUUCAGAAAAUCUGCUCUUAACGUGUACUCCCCCUGGAUUCCAAAUUGAGGCACAUCUCCAUGAAUGCAUAUUCAAGGAGUGAAUUAGCCUCUGUGGCAAGUGAGCGCCUAGCCUGGCCAGACUGAUUCUAAUUUCAAGACAGAUUAUACUGCAUCAACCAUAGUAAUGAUCUGACAGUUCAUUUGUGAUGAGAGUCCUACAGUCAGCUUUACUGCUCGGACAGACAGGUGCACAGAGAGAGCCAGCAAGACCUCUCAGAAAACACCAAAGGCUGCUGUCAAAUGAUUUCAGCCCAAAUAGUCAGAUG